rnacentral:rRNA from 1 species
UCCGGUUGAUCCUGCCGGACCCGACUGCUAUCAGAGUGGGACUAAGCCAUGCGAGUCAACAUAGCAAUAUGUGGCAUACGGCUCAGUAACACGUAGUCAACAUGCCCAGGGGACGUGGAUAACCUCGGGAAACUGAGGAUAAACCGCGAUAGGUCAUCACUUCUGGAAUGGGUAAUGACUUAAAUCUAUAUGGCCCCUGGAUUGGACUGCGGCCGAUCAGGCUGUUGGUGAGGUAAUGGCCCACCAAACCUGUAACCGGUACGGGCUCUGAGAGGAGGAGCCCGGAGAUGGGCACUGAGACAAGGGCCCAGGCCCUAUGGGGCGCAGCAGGCGCGAAACCUCUGCAAUAGGCGGAAGCUUGACAGGGUUACUCUGAGUGAUUUCCGUUAAGGAGAUCUUUUGGCACCUCUAAAAAUGGUGCAGAAUAAGGGGUGGGCAAGUCUGGUGUCAGCCGCCGCGGUAAUACCAGCACCCCGAGUGGUCGGGACGUUUAUUGGGCCUAAAGCAUCCGUAGCCGGCUAUGCAAGUCUCCGGUUAAAUCCAACUGCUCAACAGAUGGGCUGCCGGAGACACUACACAGCUAGGGAGCGGGAGAGGUAGACGGUAUUCUGUGGGUAGGGGUAAAAUCCACUGAUCCAUAGAGGACCACCAGUGGCGAAGGCGGUCUACCAGAACGCGUUCGACGGUGAGGGAUGAAAGCUGGGGGAGCAAACCGGAUUAGAUACCCGGGUAGUCCCAGCUGUAAACGAUGCAAACUCGGUGAUGCAUUGGCUUAUGGCCAAUGCAGUGCCGCAGGGAAGCCGUUAAGUUUGCCGCCUGGGAAGUACGGACGCAAGUCUGAAACUUAAAGGAAUUGGCGGGGGAGCA